rnacentral:rRNA from 1 species
AGAGUUUGAUCCUGGCUCAGAACGAACGCUGGCGGCGUGCUUCAUACAUGCAAGUCGAACGAGAAAACUCCACUUCGGUGGAACAAGUACAGUGGCAAACGGGUGAGUAACACGUGGGCAAUCUGCUCUCAAAUUGGGGAUAACUCUGCCAACGCGGGGCUAAUACCGAAUGUUAUCCUGAUAUCGCAUGAUGUUAGGAUGAAAGCUAUUUUUUUAACAAGAUGGCGUUUGAGAAGGAGCCCGCGGCCUAUUAGCUUGUUGGCGAGGUAAUGGCUCACCAAGGCGACGAUAGGUAGCCGGCCUGAGAGGGUGUUCGGCCACACUGGGACUGAGAUACGGCCCAGACUCCUACGGGAGGCAGCAGUAGGGAAUAUUGCGCAAUGGACGAAAGUCUGACGCAGCAACGCCGCGUGGGUGAUGAAGUUUUUCGGAACGUAAAACCCUGUCGGGAGGGAAGAAACUCUCAAUUUUUAUUGGGACUGACGGUACCUCCAAAGGAAGCUCCGGCCAACUCCGUGCCAGCAGCCGCGGUAACACGGGGGGAGCAAGCGUUGUUCGGAUUCACUGGGCGUAAAGGGCGUGUAGGCGGAUGGGUCAGUCAGAUGUGAAAUCCCAGGGCUUAACUCUGGGCCUGCAUUUGAUACUGCUCAUCUAGAGUAUGGGAGAGGAGAUCGGAAUUCCUGGUGUAGCGGUGAAAUGCGUAGAUACCAGGAAGAACACCGGUGGCGAAGGCGGAUCUCUGGCCUAAUACUGACGCUGAGGCGCGAAAGCUGGGGGAGCAAACAGGAUUAGAUACCCUGGUAGUCCCAGCCGUAAACGAUGGGCACUAGGUGUUGGAGGUAUUGAUCCCUUCAGUGCCGGAGCUAACGCAUUAAGUGCCCCGCCUGGGGAGUACGCUCGCAAGGGUGAAACUCAAAGGAAUUGACGGGGGCCCGCACAAGCGGUGGAGCAUGUGGUUUAAUUCGAUGCAACGCGAAGAACCUUACCGGGGUUUGACAUGCCCGUCGCACCUUGAUGAAAGUCGAGGGUCAGUUCGGCUGGACGGUGCACAGGUGCUGCAUGGCUGUCGUCAGCUCGUGUCGUGAGAUGUUGGGUUAAGUCCCGCAACGAGCGCAACCCUUACCCUUAGUUGCCAGCACAUAAUGGUGGGAACUCUAAGGGGACUGCCCCGGAUAACGGGGAGGAAGGUGGGGACGACGUCAAGUCCUCAUGGCCCUUAUGCCCCGGGCUACACACGUGCUACAAUGGCCGGUACAGAGGGUAGAGCAAAACUGCGAGGUGGAGCAAAUCCCAGAAAACCGGUCUCAGUUCGGAUUAGAGUCUGCAACUCGACUCUAUGAAGUCGGAAUCGCUAGUAAUCGCGAAUCAGCAGGUCGCGGUGAAUACGUUCCCGGGCCUUGUACACACCGCCCGUCAAGCGAUGGAAGCCGGUGGUACCCGAAGUCAGUAUCCUAACUUUUCGAAGAGGGAGCUGCCGAAGGUAAAACUGGUGACUGGCGCUAAGUCGGAACAAGGUA